GAUGAACGCUGGCGGCGUGCCUAAUACAUGCAAGUCGAGCGAACAGACAAGGAGCUUGCUCCUUUGACGUUAGCGGCGGACGGGUGAGUUACACGUGGAUAACCUACCUAUAAGACUGGGAUAACUUCGGGAAACCGGAGCUAAUACCGGAUAACAUAUUGAACCGCAUGGUUCAAUAGUGAAAGGCGGCUUUGCUGUCACUUAUAGAUGGAUCCGCGCCGUAUUAGCUAGUUGGAAAGGUAACGGCUUACCAAGGCAACGAUACGUAGCCGACCUGAGAGGGUGAUAGGCCACACUGGAACUGGGACGCGGUCCAGACUCCUACGGGAGGCAGCAGUAGGGAAUCGUCCGCAAUGGGCGAAAGCCUGACGGAGCAACGCCGCGUGAGUGAUGAAGGUCUUCGGAUCGUAAAACUCUGUUAUCAGGGAAGAACAAAUGUGUAAGUAACUGUGCACAUCUUGACGGUACCUGAUCAGAAAGCCACGGCUAACUACGUG
rnacentral:rRNA from 1 species